GUCCUCUUCAAAAGUGCUGUCAAGGGUGUGGAUGAUCUCUGAUUCUGGUCCACGUGGCAGUUCUUGCAUCGGCGGUGGCGGGGGUGCAGAAGGUGGUGCUUGUCGUGCUGGCUGUUGUAUCUGUGCGGCUUGUUGAGCUGGUGGUGGUGGAGGGCGACGUUGUGGAGGGGGUUGGAGGUCAUCGUCCAGAAGCGGUACCCUUGUGAAUUGGAAAUGUACCCCAGGUGGGGUACGUGCAGGUGCAUAGGGAGGAGGGGAAAAAAAAAAGAAAGUUAGGUUCAUCAUGUAAUGAAUCUGAUGUAGGAAAAACAUUUGCUUAAUGUUUAGCUCUGACUUAGUCUGAGUCAGCUCGUCCUUGGUUCUUAUCUUACUCUGUGCUCUCAUUUCUCUGCCAUCCGCAAUGAUCUUUUCCCUUAAUAAAGUGAGUGCUUUUACACUCAGUGUCCCUUUAGGAGGAAAAUUAUACCUUUUCUCCCAGAUGUUUACGGUUUCCAACGCCCCCGUGCCCUUCGAUUUGAUCACUCGAGCAUACACACCAUUUUCCAGAUCCAUUGACUUUGUACUCCCUUUCGAAUUACCCUGACCCAUGGUCACGAACGAAAUAACGCUUACCGUAUUAUCUAUUCAGAUGCCACCACAACGGUUCUUUUCCAGAUUCCGUCAGCCUUGACUUCAGAACUGGUUGAGACUCUCCCUUCCCUUAGGCCUGGGGUACGGAGCCCGAGACCUCUUGUCUCAGGGGUGAUCAGUCAGUCUCUCCCAAACCUGGAGUCUACAGCUGUGGAAUCCGCAUCCUCGUCGCCAUUAUUGUCGUGGAAUUUUAGCCGCAUCAAAUAAUACUCACUAAGAGUCAAAGUCAAGGAUCACACAGACACACUGUCGACAGAAUUUUCUUUGUCUGAAUUUUAUAUAUUCUGCAGAAUAGGCUCUCACCCCCAUGGUGCAAGAAGUUUAAAAACCUAAGAGCCCCGAUCACAAGGUUGAAGACACAUUUAUAGUAAGAUGCUGAAACACGUACAAUCAUCCGUUUCUACGUCAUUUAGAAGAUAGCCUUCAGUUGUCAGUGAUUAAGAGCAAAGACCGUUAAACAUAAUCAUAAAGGACAGUACAUGCUGGUACAUGAUGUUUAAGUCCUUCCUUGGACAUUGUACUUGCUGAAAAGACAGAAAGAGCAUAAUUCUGUACGUUAGCAGAAAAACAUGAUCUCCAUAUGAAUCACAAUUUGUGAGCUUCAGAUUGUUAUUAAAAAAUGAAAAAUAGGAUGAAAAAUAAAACAUAAUAA